AAAGGGAAGAGGGGAGGGGUAGGCUCUCAUGAAAACGUCUGUCUUCCCGAACAAUGGCUAUGUGUGUUGAGGCCCUGCUUCAAGGACUUGGUCAAGAAUCACUCACUGUUGGGAAGUAGAGGGUAAUUUCUUUCCUCUGUAUUUCCAUACAGCCUUUGCUUUUUAUUUUUAUUUUAUUUCUGUUUUUUAUCCCUUUUCCCCUUUUCCCUUUAGUUAAAUUAUUUAACUAAUAAUAACUUUCCCUUAAUAACUAUAUUCCCCUUAAUUAAAUUAUCCUUAUCUCAACCCAUGAGUUGUUUCUUUCAUUUUCUUCUUCCCCUCCUCUUCUGAGGAUGGGGAGUGAGAGAGAGGUUGUGGUGGAGUUCAGCUGCGUAGCAAGGUAAAACCACCACAGGAGGUCGGCCUCUUCUCACAGGUAACUAGUGAUAGGAUUAGAGGGAAUGGCCUCAAGUUGUGCCAAGGGUUCAGGUUGGAAAUGAGGAUACCUUUUGUCUCAGAAAGAGCAGUCACGCAUUGGGACGGGUUGCCCAGGGAAGUAGUCCCUGGGGAUGUUCAAGGAAAGGUUGGAUGUGGUGCUUAGGGAUGUGGGGGACAUUGGUGGUAGGGGGAUGGUUGGACCAGAUGAUCUUGGAGGUCUUUUCCAACCUUAAUGAUUCUAUGAUUCUGUGAUUCUACUCUUCUAAGCAAGAUAGAUUAAUAACUUUAAAAAUGCAGCAUAGAAAAAUUAAAGUGAAAUCUCACUUUCAUACAUUAUUUCAACAUACACAUUGGAUCCUAAUUUUUUUUUCCCCUUCUUUUAGGUUUUUUAGUUUUAUGGUACAUUCCAGUUCCAGAUUCUAGAUAUGCCAUGUAAUCAUCUGUUUACAGGAGCAUGCUGGCAAAGCAGAAUAUAUCAGUAUGUUCGUAAACCUGUCCGGAAACUCUGCUGCAUCCCAUGCUGUACCAGCACUGUCCCUUAAUAUGUGUGAAGAAAGAACCUCCCAGACAUCAGCAAACAGAUAAGCACAGGAGUGCUCUGGGAUUGAGGCUGAUGGGACAUCAUUCACCCCUUGACUCUACACACCCCAGCACACCCCAGCUGUCUCGCAAAACCUUGAG
rnacentral:lncRNA from 1 species